UACGUAGGGGGCAAGCGUUGUCCGGAUUCAUUGGGCGUAAAGAGCGCGUAGGCGGUCCGGUAAGUCGGUUGUGAAAACUGGGGGCUCAACCCUCAGAGGCCGACCGAUACUGUCGGGCUAGAGUCCGGAAGAGGCGAGUGGAAUUCCUGGUGUAGCGGUGAAAUGCGCAGAUAUCAGGAGGAACACCAAUGGCGAAGGCGAGUCCCUGGACAACACCUGACACUGAGGCACGAAAGCUAGGGGAGCAAACAGG
rnacentral:rRNA from 1 species